rnacentral:rRNA from 1 species
CUACGGAGGGCGCAAGCGUUGCCCGGAAUCACUGGGUGUAAAGGGUGCGUAGGCGGGGCUGUAAGUCAGAGGUGAAAGCCCUCGGCUCAACCGGGGAAUUGCCUCUGAUACUGCAGCUCUUGAGUCCCGGAGAGGCCGCUGGAAUUCCUGGUGUAGCGGUGAAAUGCGUAGAUAUCUGGAGGAACACCGGAGGCGAAGGCGGGCGGCUGGACGGGGACUGACGCUGAGGCACGAAAGCGUGGGGAGCAAACAGGAUUAGAUACCCUAGUAGUCC